rnacentral:rRNA from 1 species
GACGAACGCUGGCGGCGUGCUUAACACAUGCAAGUCGAACGGAAAGGCCCUGCUUUUGGGGGGUGCUCGAGUGGCGAACGGGUGAGUAACACGUGAGUAACCUGCCCUUGACUUUGGGAUAACUUCAGGAAACUGGGGCUAAUACCGGAUAGGAGCUCCUGCUGCAUGGUGGGGGUUGGAAAGUUUCGGCGGUUGGGGAUGGACUCGCGGCUUAUCAGCUUGUUGGGUGGGUAGUGGCUUACCAAGGCUUUGACGGGUAGCCGGGCUGAGAGGGUGACAGGCUCCAUCGCGACGGAGAUACGGCCCAGACUCCUACGGGACGCAGCAGUGCGGUAUAGUGCACUAUGGGCGGAAGGCUAAUGCAGCAACGCCGCGUGCGGGAUGACGGCAUUCGGGUUGGAAUCCGCAUUCGCCUGUGACGAAGCGUGAGUGACGGUAAUGGGUAAAGAAGCACCGGCUAACUCCGUG